AAUUGCAUGCCUGAGAGCCAGCUGCUCAUGGGAGACAGAACUGUAACUUCAGCGCCUGUGUCCUGCCUCCCAGUAUAUGGACGGAGUCUGAAACAGUGCGCUCCCAGCCCCGCUCUCUGAUGCUGGGAUGG
ensembl:miRNA